GACGAACGCUGGCGGCGUGCUUAACACAUGCAAGUCGAGCGGUAAGGCCCUUCGGGGGUACACGAGCGGCGAACGGGUGAGUAACACGUGGGUGACCUGCCCUUAGCUCUGGGAUAAGCCUGGGAAACUGGGUCUAAUACCGGAUAUGACUCCAUGACGCAUGUUGGUGGGGUGGAAAGCCUUGUGCGGCUAGGGAUGGGCCCGCGGCCUAUCAGCUUGUUGGUGGGGUGAUGGCCUAUCAAGGCGACGACGGGUAGCCGGCCUGAGAGGGCGACCGGCCACACUGGGACUGAGACACGGCCCAGACUCCUACGGGAGGCAGCAGUGGGGAAUCUUGCGCAAUGGGCGAAAGCCUGACGCAGCGACGCCGCGUGAGGGAUGACGGCCUCGGUU
rnacentral:rRNA from 1 species